GGCGGAUGUACCCAAGUGGAU
rnacentral:tRNA from 1 species